rnacentral:misc_RNA from 1 species
AGGGGGAGGGUGGCCGAACCUCCCGGGGCGUGCAAGGGUCGUGUUUUAUGGGCAAAAACACGUGGAUUUGAGUGGGAUCCAAGAGGUUGGCGCACGCCCCUAGGUAAGACGUAGCGGUUGGCUCAGUCGGAUGACGUUUCCCUGUAACCAUCACCGUAAACCGGUCCUUUAGUAUCCGUACGGGGAUCUGGGUCUGAGGUGUAUUGCAUGAGGUGUAGCACCAUGAAAUUGACGAUUUGAGCUCCGCCGCGCAAGAACGUGUUAAUCCGGUGUCGUCCACGAUACUUGGGAGCCGUUGCCCUGGUCAUGUAAACGUUCCCAGUCGGUAUGAUUCCCCAAAAAGGUGAUUGCCGCGUUACGUUUUUCGUGUUCCAUAUGGGCUGCUUCUCCUCAGUCGCUCUGGGUGGUCAUCCGUGGUAGGCACAUUCCAUCGCCUCUAGUCCCUUCAGAGAAAUGUUGCCCCAAGACGGUAUCGUUAUUGGUGUAACACCCGCGCGUCGUGGACACUCAGGACGCCUUCGUGCAGGCCAUUCCCCCGUGCUAUGCGUGGGGGGAGGCUUGGUUGGCUUGACCGAUGUGGAUACGCGAGCGGAUGAGUAGCUUUGGACCCGUGUCUGUUGUUAGAUCCCCCGUCCUCGUGCGGCCGACUAGCGACGCCGUGUCCCGUCAUUCGUGUGGCUUAUGUUACUGUUGCCUUUCAAGUGCUUG